rnacentral:tRNA from 1 species
GCGACACUAGCUCAGUUGGUAGAGCGCAACCUUGCCAAGGUUGAGGUCACGAGAUCGAACCUCGUGUGUCGCUCCA